rnacentral:rRNA from 1 species
GAGUUUGAUCCUGGCUCAGAGCGAACGCUGGCGGCAUGCUUAACACAUGCAAGUCGCACGGGCAGUAGCAAUAUUGUCAGUGGCGGACGGGUGAGUAACGCGUAGGAAUCUAUCCUUGGAUGGGGGACAACCGUGGGAAACUACGGCUAAUACCGCAUAAUGCCUGAGGGCCAAAGACGUAAGUCGUCUGGGGAGGAGCCUGCGUCUGAUUAGGUAGUUGGUGGGGUAAAGGCCUACCAAGCCUGCGAUCAGUAGCUGGUCUGAGAGGAUGAUCAGCCACAUUGGGACUGAGACACGGCCCAAACUCCUACGGGAGGCAGCAGUGGGGAAUAUUGGACAAUGGGGGCAACCCUGAUCCAGCAAUGCCGCGUGGGUGAAGAAGGUUUUCGGAUUGUAAAGCCCUUUUGGCGGGGACGAUGAUGACGGUACCCGCAGAAUAAGCUCCGGCUAACUUCGUGCCAGCAGCCGCGGUAAUACGAAGGGGGCUAGCGUUGCUCGGAAUGACUGGGCGUAAAGGGCGCGUAGGCGGCUUACAUAGUUAGGCGUGAAAUUCCUGGGCUCAACCUGGGGACUGCGUCUAAUACAUGUAGGCUUGAGUGUGA